rnacentral:tRNA from 1 species
UACAGAUGACCCGUAUUAUGGUGAACGGGGGUGCUCUGUAAAAGCAUUGACUUUGUGUCAUACAGGGUUCGAAUCCCUGAUCUGUAA